AGGAGUGUAGCUCAGGUGGUUAGAGCGCACGCCUGAUAAGCGUGAGGUCGGUGGUUCGAGUCCACUCAUUCCUACCA
rnacentral:tRNA from 1 species